GGAUGACCAAGAUGCUAAUGUGGAAAUAAAAAAUUCUGAGUCUAAUGUGUCAAUUGAACAAGCUGCAGUUUCUCUUAAUGAGACCAACCAUUUGUAAAUCUGGGGAAUCAAGUCACCUUGAGAAUGGAGAUUCUGCUAUCCCUGUUGAAUGUCUUCAAUCAGCUAUCAGCAAUAGCUAGUGCCUGGGCUUAGAAAUCCUAUGGAUGAGCUGAAAUAGAACCUCGGAAGUGUCAAGGAAGAAGUUUGGAUA
rnacentral:misc_RNA from 1 species